GGUACCUUCUGUUCAAUGUGCCUAGCCUGUCAGAUGGCUGAGAGGUAUGGUGAAUGCUUCUGUCUCCCCCUGCUGCCAACAACUAUGAUGAUGAUGCGCACAUCAAUGAGAGAGAGAUACAACAUCCCGGGUAGUUGCAGGAAAUAUGUGCAACGUAUUUCAAGACGUCACUACAAGACAACCAAGGACUUUAGCUGGGGGCCAGUUUGCCGGGAUCCAGAAAAAGACAUGGAGCUCUGGAGUGAUGGAUUGCUGUGUCGACAGAGAUGUCUGUCUCUGUGGGUUUUUCUGUCCAUGCAUUCAGGCCAUUAAAAUGGCAGAGAAAUACGGAGAGUGUUUCCUACUCUCUCAUGUUCCAUGGACACAUUUUAUGUUGCGAACCAGCAUUCGGGAGCGGUAUAACAUAGAGGGAACCAUUUGCGAUGACUGGUGUGUGACUGCUUUCUGCGGACCUUGUGUUCAAUGCCAAAUGGUUCGUGAAGUCAAUAAGGAGAUUCCUAACUGACAGAGCCGCAAAGUGUUGUCUCCCGCACCUUGUUAUGAAAAUGUUAAUUAAAUUGUUGCAGUGAGGACCCUCAAGUUUUUGUACAACAAACUUCUUAUGGUUACAUUAGGACUGCUGUCAUCUGAAGACUAUGCCUGCAAGUCAACAAACUUUUUAUGUUCCUCUGACUAUACAGCACUAUGUGAGCACAACCCUUUAUCUAAAUCCUCAGCAGUAAGAAAAAACAAGACACAGUACCAUGUGACUGUCAGAUGUAUACAAUGUGCAAUAUAACUUAUAGUAUUUUACUAUUUAUGAUAAGUAUGUUAUUACCAGAUUAUGGCUAAUUUAAAUGUAUUCAACUACCAGUUGUUUAUAUGAAAAUACAUUUGAAAUAAGUACUACACAAGAAUAGUUCAGAAAUGAAAUUAUUGUUUUUUAACUUUUUGGAUUAUGUGUGAAUUGCUAGAUAUUACUGCACUGUUGGAGCUGGAAACAUAAGCAUUUCGCUGCACCUGCGAUAACAUCUGCAGAUCUGUAUUAUGCGACCAAUAAACUUUGAUUUGAAAGUC